rnacentral:rRNA from 1 species
AUGAACGCUGGCGGCGUGCCUCAUCCCUGCCAGUCGCGCGAACAGACGAGGAGCUUGCUCCUCUGACGUUAGCGGCGGACGGGUGAGUAACACGUGGAUAACCUACCUAUAAGACUGGGAUAACUUCGGGAAACCGGAGCUAAUACCGGAAAAUAUAUUGAACCGCAUGGUUCAAUAGUGAAAGACGGUUUUGCUGUCACUUAUAGAUGGAUCCGCGCCGCAUUAGCUAGUUGGUAAGGUAGCGGCUUACCAAGGCGACGAUGCGUAGCCGACCUGAGAGGGUGAUCGGCCACACUGGAACUGAGACACGGUCCAGACUCCUACGGGAGGCAGCAGUAGGGAAUCUUCCGCAAUGGGCGAAAGCCUGACGGAGCAACGCCGCGUGAGUGAUGAAGGUCUUCGGAUCGUAAAACUCUGUUAUUAGGGAAGAACAAAUGUGUAAGUAACUAUGCACGUCUUGACGGUACCUAAUCAGAAAGCCACGGCUAACUACGUG